rnacentral:tRNA from 1 species
GCCGCGGUGGCGGAAUCGGUAGACGCGCUAGACUCAAAAUCUGGUGCCCUUAUGGGCGUGCCGGUUCAAGUCCGGCUCGCGGUACCA